CCAAGAGUGACUCACCCAGUGAAGACCAGAGUACUUAUUGUUCCAAGUGUCAAAAUCUGCAGAACUGCCUCCAGGAUUUGGGUCUCAUCCAGCUUCAAUGAACGAAACAUUCCAGCAUCUUCCUCCAGUACCUGUGAAUGCUGCAUUGUCUUCUCCCUGUGGCUUUUGUUUUUGAAAGCUCAUAAAGAGGAACCCAGGAAGUCAGGAGACAGCAGGGUGACCAUUUCCGUCCCCAGAACAGCCUUCAGCCAGUUUCUACAUGCCUCUUGCCAGGGACCAAACUGGCACCUAGGCUGCCCCGGAGGACGCAGAAAACCAGGACCCGGCUGGGGGCUGAAAUGUACUCCAUUGAAGAAUCCUCUGGCCUCCUCAGCACUGGAAGGACCAGCCAGCGGCAGUGAGAGUUUAUCAUUUGGAGGGAGCCCUCAGCGGCCCCUCUGCCGUCACAUCAACCUUACACAGAAUGUGUCUCCACGCUCAGUAGCCAAUAACAAAAAUGAUGAAGAAUCUGAUGCAGACGCGGAUAAUUGCUCUGGCUUCCUCCCGUGAAUUUAAAUAGCUUUCUUGAAUUACUGCUUUUGACAUGAUCAAUAAAAUUGAGCUAUUGCUAUAUCAGGCCUUUCAGCAAAUACACAGAAGCCGUGCUCCAGGGCUGGUGGUUCAGGGACUCCAGCUGUCCCGGUGGCUGGGGCCGUGGUCUUAGGGACAGUUGAUGGAGUGAGGACAGGGAUGAGCUGGACCAGCCAGCAGCCAAAACAAGAAAAGCUGAUCAGCUUCAGCAUUCUGCCUUCCAGUUGACCUCAGUUUUCUUAUACUCCUUCCCCCACCAGCCAUGUGACCUUGGGCAUUUGCUAUGUCAUGCUUUGAGCCUCAUUUUUCUCAUCCACACAAUGGGAAUUUUAAUGGUACUUGCCUCAUGGGUUGCUGUGGGG
ensembl:lncRNA